GCGGGCCCAACACAUUGCAAGUUCGAGCGGUAGCACAGAGAGCUUGCUCUCGGGUGACGAGCGGCGGACGGGUGAGUAAUGUCUGGGAAACUGCCUGAUGGAGGGGGAUAACUACUGGAAACGGUAGCUAAUACCGCAUAACGUCGCAAGACCAAAGUGGGGGACCUUCCGGCCUCAUGCCAUCAGAUGUGCCCAGAUGGGAUUAGCUAGUAGGUGGGGUAACGGCUCACCUAGGCGACGAUCCCUAGCUGGUCUGAGAGGAUGACCAGCCACACUGGAACUGAGACACGGUCCAGACUCCUACGGGAGGCAGCAGUGGGGAAUAUUGCACAAUGGGCGCAAGCCUGAUGCAGCCAUGCC
rnacentral:rRNA from 1 species